rnacentral:rRNA from 1 species
ACAGAGGGUGCAAGCGUUAAUCGGAAUUACUGGGCGUAAAGCGUGCGCAGGCGGUUUGUUAAGUCUGUUGUGAAAUCCCCGAGCUCAACUUGGGAAUUGCAAUGGAUACUGGCAGGCUGGAGUACGGUAGAGGAAGGUGGAAUUCCCGGUGUAGCAGUGAAAUGCGUAGAUAUCUGGAGGAACACCGGUGGCGAAGGCGGCAUUCUGGACCAUAACUGACACUGAGAGACGAAAGCCAGGGGAGCAAACGGGA